GAGCCCAUGAACACUCCGAUAGUGGUACGCACCCCUGCGGGUCAGUGUCGAACUACCAUGAUUGGUCGCGACGUUCCUGUUGAAAUUGAAGGGUUGGAAUUCCUUGUUUCUCCCAUUAUUCUGGAGUCUUCCAAUAUUGACCUCAUUCUGGGAAUGGAAUGGUUGAAAGCGCAUACUACCUCUAUCGUUUGCGCUACCAAGGUCGUUCACCUCCUACAUCCUUCAGAUGAGAUUGUAACCUACCAUGCUCAGCUUGUUCAAAACGCUGAAGCACGACUUUAUGCUUUGAAUGCGUUGAACGCGGCACCUCUUGAGGGAAUUGAAAAGAUUCCAGUCGUUCGCAACUUCCAAGACGUAUUUCCAGAAGAACUUCCAGGAAUACCCCCUGCCCGGGCUGUCGAGUUCGUCAUCGACUUGAAACCA
rnacentral:rRNA from 1 species